rnacentral:lncRNA from 1 species
UUAUAAAAAUGUUGCACUCUUGGAAUCUUGAUUGUUUACUUGCAAGCCAUUUUAUUGGUUUAACCAAAUCAUGUGGCAAACUGAUCAGUAGAACACUCCCCAUAAUCAUCUCCCACAUGUGCUGCUCCAACCUUUCAUCUAUUAAGCCAAGAACUUUUUACACCGACUAAAACGAAGAGCAGUAGAACACAAAUAUGAAGUAUGAGGUAGAAAUAAGAGUUAAAUUACACUCAUGUGUAAAAUGUUUUUAUAUCUUUUUUAUAUGCUCGAACACAAUCGUCGUAGAAAAAAAAAAGUUAAGGAUGCUUGAGUCAUUGAGUGGGGUGUUGGUAAUUUUUCUAAAACCAAGAAGGGAUAUUUUAACUUUAAUAAUGUGAUUGGAGGUGACACAAAAGAAAGCGAGAAGCCACCCAAAAAAACAAAUAACAAUUGGAAAAUGUGAAAGCCGGGUGGUUGGAAAUUGGAAUAGCAACACUAUACUUAUUUUUCUUUGCUUUGGUCCCGUUUUUCUCUUGGUUAUUAAAAAUAGUUGUCUCAAAUUAUUUGUUAUUUUAUAAUUUUAAGACAAAACUGAUUAUUUUUUUUUCUUUUUUUACCUUUAGUAAUAAUUAUUCUUGAUGAUGGAGAUAACAUAUAAAUAGAAUAAAUAUUCAAUGAAAAAAGAUUAUAUCCUAUGACAUAAAUAAGAAUAAAUAGUCUAAUCUUUUUUCCUAAUUAAUAUUUUUUAAGAGGCAUGUAAAAGGAAAACACGACAUAGCAGAUGAAGUAGUUAGUAGUUCAUCGUUUAGUACAUUUUAAUGAAAUGGUAAUGCACUGGAGUCAAAGGUGGAUUUAUGAUUAAAAUUGUAGGAGUUCGAGAAUCCAAACCAACAAGCUCAAGUACUAAUAAUAAGGUUUGAAAGUUAAUAUAUUUGUCUAUAUUUUUGUGAUUCUCUUAAAACAUAUACAGAAUGUGGAUCAAAUCAUCAAGUUCGAUUUUUCGGAUUAUGCACAUAGCGGGAGCUUAAUGCACCGGACUAUUCUUUUAUGUGGCUAAUUUAUAUUCCUCACUAUACAGGAAAGGAGAAAACUAAAGAAAAACGGAAAUGUUAUGAUGAGAAGGGUGCUUCGAGAUUUUUGAAGAUUCUUGGACAAAAUUGCCAUUAAUACUAAUGACACGUCUGAACCAGGUCAAAUCAAUUGACAAUGUAGAUCAUUACUGAAAUUAUUCUCAUCAUCAUCAUCAUCAUAAUAAUAAUAAUAAUAAUAAUAAUAACUUAAACAAGUGUUCACACUCUAGUCUCUAGAUAAUGGAGGUGGCCAAACCAAUCCAAUACCAUUCUUUACUUGGAGCAUAUCUUUAUAGAUGUUUUUUGUAUAUUUUAGAUAUGUUAUAUAAUGCACUUUACUUUAAGAUUUUCCUAAUUUUCAAACAUCAAUUGCAUGCACGUCAAAUGUUUCAUUCUUCACUGCAAAUCAAUUUGUUGAAAACGUGUUGGCUGUAAUAUUGUGCUCAUAUAGUCAUUGGCGGAGCUAGAGCGACGCGCGGAAGGGUUCAUAUGAUAUUUUCUUCGCCUAAAAAUCACAUUAUAUAUUUCAAAUUAAAUUUUUAUGUAUACACAAUCAAUAUUGAACUCUAUUGGUGAAAAUUUUGUUUCCACCAUUAUUAACAUAGCCCUUCAAAUUUUUUGAUGAUGGUCCCAAUGUAUCAGGUAAUAAUAUUCCUCUACCCCAACCCCUACCCUCUACUUCCACCGACGCUGGCCCUUUGCUUUUUUUUGGAGGAACUACAUGAAGUCUUAUUUGAACAACUGAAUUUAUGAAAUGUGUCGGAAAUAAUUUCUACAUUUACAAGAUAGGGGAAUGCGUUUUCACCUUAGAAUAAAGUUGCUCAACGAAAUUCACUACAAGCAAAAUAGCUAUUAACGACGAAAUAGUGGUACCUAAAAGUAUGUAUUUGGUUACAAAUAGUUAAUAUUAGUGACUAGAUAAAUCUUAUCAGUUAAACAAAUUUUGGGUACAAGAUCCAUCAAAUUAAGGAAAAGCAAACAAAGAAAAAGAUGGCGCUUGAAUGAAAAGCAAAAGAAUGUAAUAGAUGGAAGUGGUGCAACGACCAUAUUCCUUAAGUAUAAAGAGGCAGCAUAGUGUGCUAAGGUAUCCGCAUUUACUUGGGAAGGGUCCGAUGCAAGUGGUGUGAUAUAGACUACUUACACUAAUGCAAUCAUUUAUGGCUACUUCACGACUCGAACAUGUGAUCUAUAGGUCGAAUGAAUACAACUUUAUCAUUGCUCCACGGCUCCUCUUUCCUAAUUAUCUUAAUUAUAAUAAUCAUGAAAGCCAAAAAGAAAAAUUUAAAGCCAAGGAUUGCAAGGUUAUCCCUGGUGAGAUCCUCGCGACACAGCAUAGGCUCUUGGUGAUGGACGUUGGUAUUAUGUUAAAAAGGAAGAAGAGGUCUGUACAAGGACGAUCGAGGAUCAGGUGGGGAGCCUUGACUAAGCAUAAAGCUCAAGAGUUGGAGGGGGGGUUAGUGGCUAUGGGGGUCUGAAGUAGUAGCGGGGACACGAGCGUUAUGUGGGCGACGACGGCAGACUGUAUAAGGGAGGCUGCGAGAGAGGUGUUAGGGUUCUCGACGGGCUACUCUGGCGGGCACAAACGCGACUGGUGGUGGAACGAAAUGGUCCAAGGUAAAUUGAAAGCGAAGAAGGCAGCAUACCUGGAGUUAGUAGGGAGCACAUGUGAGGAGGAGAGGAGAGAGGGUAAGGAGAGGUAUAAGAUAGCUAGGAAAGAGGCUAAGCUGGCGGUUACGGAGGCUAAGGUUGCGGCUUUGGAUCAUUUGUACUAGAAACUGGGGGACAAAGGCGGAAAAAAGAAGUUAUUCCGGCUGGCCAAGGCGACAGAGAGAAAGGUUCGAGAUUUGGACCAAGUGAGGUGCAUCAAGGACGAGGACGGUAUAGUAUUGAUGGGUGAGACCCAGAUUAAUAGGAGAUGUUAGACUUACUUUUAUAAAAAAUGUUGCACUCUAGGAAUCUUGAUUGUUUAUUUGCUAGCCAUUUUAUUGGUUUAACCUAAUCAUGUGGCAAACUGAUCAGCGGAACACUCCCCAUAAUCAUCUCCC